GCUGGGCACGGUGGUGCGUGCCUUUAGUCCCAGCUACUCGGGAGGCUGAGGCUGGAGGAUCUCUUGAGCCCAGGAGUUCUAGGCUGUAGUGCACUAUGCCGAUCGGGUGUCCGCACUAAGUUCAGCAUCCAUAUGGUGACCUCCUGGGAGCGGGGGACCACCCGGUUGCCUAAGGAGGGGUGAACCGGCCCAGAUCAGAAACAGAGCAGGUCAAAGCUCCCGUGCUAAUCAGUAGUGGGACCCAGCUUGUGAAUAGCCAUGCACUCCAGCCUGGGCAACAUAGUGNNNNNN
rnacentral:SRP_RNA from 1 species